AACCGUUCGGGGGUAAACGGACAGAGCCCGUGAAUCCGGGCGCGCGGAAUUCAGGACCGACGGCGGGGUUCGUCGAUUCGAUAUUUCCGUCGCCGACCCUCAACCGAGGCGGACGUCGCGACCCGUUCGCCAUCGAAACUCAGGAACGCGCUCCAAGUUCGUAUGCGCGGCCGUCUCGGCGGGCGGCGAUGGCGCGUUUCCGCUGUUUCGGCGCGGACGGUAGCUUUGGCGCGGGUAAUCGAAGCGGUCUCGUCCGUCGUCUCGUACGGCGGACGGCGCUCGCUUCGACGCCGGUCAGCGACGAAUCUUCGGGCCUCUUUCCGACCCGUCUUGAAACACGGACCAAGGAGUCUAGCGUGCGCGCGAGUCGCGGGGUAUCCGAGUGGUCACGCCUCUCGUCACGAUACGAAACCCGUGUACGUACGUUGUGCGAAGGCGUAAUGAAAGUGAAAGGCGGCGCUUCGCGCGUCGCCGGGGAAGACGGUGUUCCGUGUACACGUUUCGCGAUCACGCUGUGUCGCGACCGGACACCCGCAUUCCCAGGGCGUCCCGACAGUACGGCGGCGCGUGGGGCGUCUCGCGCGCGUCGACGAACUGGGGCGCACCUACAGCGUGCACGCUGGUACCCGAAAGAUGGUGAACUAUGCCCGGCCAGGAUGAAGUCAGGGGAAACCCUGAUGGAGGUCCGCAGCGAUUCUGACGUGCAAAUCGAUCGUCUGAGCUGGGUAUAGGGGCGAAAGACUAAUCGAACCAUCUA
rnacentral:rRNA from 1 species